rnacentral:rRNA from 1 species
GUAGGGAAUCUUGCGCAAUGGGCGAAAGCCUGACGCAGCAACGCCGCGUGGAGGAUGAAGGCCUUCGGGUCGUAAACUCCUGUCAGGGGGGACGAAACACCCGGCAACGGGUCUUGACUGUACCCUCUGAGGAAGCCACGGCUAACUCCGUGCCAGCAGCCGCGGUAAUACGGAGGUGGCAAGCGUUGUUCGGAAUUAUUGGGCGUAAAGGGCGCGUAGGCGGCUAGGCAAGUCAGGUGUGAAAGCCCCGGGCUUAACUCGGGAAUUGCACCUGAAACUGCUGUGCUUGAGUUCUGGAGGGAGUAGUGGAAUUCCCAGUGUAGCGGUGAAAUGCGUAGAUAUUGGGAGGAACACCUGUGGCGAAGGCGGCUACCUGGACAGAGACUGACGCUGAGGUGCGAAAGCGUGGGGAGCAAA